rnacentral:snoRNA from 16 species
GAGAUGAUGAGAACUCCCUGAUCUGAGCGGUGAUGAGGACCGGUGAUCUGAAAA